CACGUAGGGCGCAAGCGUUGUCCGGAAUUAUUGGGCGUAAAGAGCUCGUAGGCGGUCUGUUGCGUCCGCUGUGAAAACUCGGGGCUUAACCCCGAGCCUGCAGUGGAUACGGGCAGACUAGAGGUAGGUAGGGGAGAAUGGAAUUCCCGGUGUAGCGGUGAAAUGCGCAGAUAUCGGGAGGAACACCAAUGGCGAAGGCAGCUCUCUGGGACGGUACUGACGCUGAGACGCGAAAGCGUGGGGAGCGAACAGG
rnacentral:rRNA from 1 species